UUCACGUUUGAUUUCUUUAUUUCUGCUUUAUUUAACAGGGACAGUGCACAUUAAUAAACAUAAAAGUAAAUGCACCAGAAAAGGCUAUUUGACAUCUAUUGUGGCCUGGGCCGAUGAGCGAUCGACGUUCAUGACGAGUGUAACCCAUGAAUUAAAGUAACACUAUGGAGAGUUUGGACACUGAGUAGAGGACAAUGUGGACGCUAUAAUGUGAUGGACAACAGAAGCAAAUAUGACUGAGCUGGAUUGCGGUCAGCCAAAGAUGUGACCCCUUAAAGGGGCCUUGUACUUUUAAAACCUCACUAUAGCAGUGAUAGCAGGAGUCACUAGAACAGCUCGUGUGUCCAAUGACAUCAUACAUGACCAGUACUGUAUGAGUGGAAUGGUUAUGGAUUUGCUUUUUUUGUUCUUAAAUCUUUAAGGACUCCUCUUUCGCUCUAUUUCAGCAGGCAUGUAACAAAGAAUGUUUACAUAAAAACUUUAUUACUUAUAAGAAAAAAUUGACAACAAACAUGCUUAUACCACAAAAGAAAAUGAAAAGAUAUUGCACUGGUUACUCGAGCAUUUUCUUCUCUUCCCUCGGAACUCAUGUCUCUCCACCAUACAUAACUCUACCGCCACCUCUCCCUUAAUACCAGAACGCUAAAAACACAGGGUACUAUACACAGAAUCAGGAUCAGACAGCCUUUAAAACCCCAGAGGAAUGUCUCACAGUCGAGCCUGCAAGUGUCAUUUCAUUCAGUUCCAGCCAUCAAUUGUGUGUGUGUGUGUGUGUGUGUGUGUGUGACAAAGACCAAAGCCCUCACACUGAUCAGUAAUCUGUGCUGUGGGCACAAGAAAGCACAGAAUGGAGACCACAAACACACUCACACACACGUGACCUUAACUGAUGGAGUGCAAUACAAAUAUGUGUCUGUGUGAGAGAGUGUGUAUGUGUGAGAGUGCGUAUGUGUGAGAGUGUGUGUAUGUGUGAGAGAGUGUGUAUGUGUGAGAGAGUGUGUAUGUGCAAAAUGUGGGAGACAACGACUACAAAUGCGAAUGUGUGAAGGUACACUAUGUUUGAUAGGUAGGAGAAAUUUAGAGAUAUCGAUUUCUUAGAAAAUCAUUUGAUUCCAUGCGUGUGGGUCACCAUGUGUUUUUUUAUGUGUAGGAUAUGUGUGAUUUGAGCUUGUGCUGAGUGGCUGUUAGCAGAGGGAUGGUUCUGUGGCCAAGACUGGUGGCUGUACAUUAAUGAGGACUUUGGGGUCACCGACACAACCAGUCCUCUCUCAAACUGACGGCAGAACAGUCAUUGCACACGCGGGAGUGUGUCUGUUCAUCACAAUUGGUGAGAGGUUCCAUCUCAAUUUCAGACGGAGAUGACUGACUGAAGGCUGCAGCCACCCACUGAUCAGUAAGAAAGCGAGGCGGUCUGCCUUCCAGAAGGUUCCAGAGAUAAACUACAUACUCUAAUGACAUCCACUGUGCUACUAUCUGUAAACGUAUACAUCCUCGCUCCACAUAGAAAACAUUUUUUUGGAGAUCCACUACAGCUUUCCUCGUCUCCUGGCAGAGAAGUGAAAGUCUUGACCACAUGACCACAGUACCACACAUGGAAUGAUUCUUACACGUUUCAUAUUUAGUUUUUUUUAGAGAAUUAUCAGCUCAUCCUUUCACUCUCAAUAACAACCAUCAAGAUCAACUCCUGUGCACCACAGUGCAUUUUUACAAAUUGAUCUGAUGGAGUUUUUCUGAACAGGCUUGAAGUGACUUUAUAUACUAAAAAAACCAUCACAUAUUAUUUUAUACACUCUGAAAAUUGUGUACAGAGUCAAAAAUCUGUGUCAUGGUUAGGUUAGCGGUACCAAUAGUAUCUUCUGUCUGUUGGACAGCGUGCACCACUAAGAGGUUGGAAGAACUCCACACACUGAACGAGUCUGAGACAACCACAAAGAGACAUGUUUUCCUCUGCGACACCAGCCUCUAUCAGUCAGGGAGGGAGGGCUAGAGCAUCACCUCUCCACUGACUCAGUCAGUGCGCCGUCCUAUUCUUCAGGAGGAUGAAUCAUAUUCAGUAUGGACUAUGCAGAAAGCCUUCACCUGCUGUACAGAGCCUACAUUAUGUUCAUGCUCCCCGUGGACACAGCUCAGUAAAAGCACUCGCUCACGCUCGCGUACGUGUGCGGCCUACAUUGGCUUCAACACUACAAUCAGGUCAAGAGUGAGGGGCAAUGGACAUUGGCACUGCAACAUGGCUCAAGUUAGUGGCUUGUUCUGAGGUAAAGAUAUGUAAACACAAUGCAAAAACACCUGCCUCUGACUGGGUGGAGAACAGUGAUAGCGAGUAACCUUAUGGUGACAGACAAUAAUGAGAAAAGGGGAGAGUCUGGGCUGGGUAAUCUUAAAACAAUUAGUUUAAAACAACAAUAUAAUACAAUAAUACAACGGUAUAUACCACAGAAACAGAAAAGGGGAUCCGUUUAAAAGUCCAAAGAUAAAAACUUGAGGUGCACAACACCCCUAGACGUCUAGGGAUUGGUCAACACCUAGGAAAGAUGGGGUCUGAUUGGCCAAUUUAUUGUUUCACUUGGAAAGGACAAAAAAAUACACACACAAACCCAAAAGUAAAAAAAAAAAGAAAAGGGGGUUGCUUUUUUUGUGUGCAAAGCUGCCCUCUGGCCCAGCGCUUCACAAAGGGCAGGAUUGGACCGCACAGGUGCAAUACACACAGAGGCUACACUCAUUUACAGACACACACACUCUCAAUACUGCAGCGUAGAAAACACAGAAAGGAGUUUUAAAUAUUCAUUUAUAUAUACACAGACACUUGCCUCGCUCACCUAUGUACACACACACACACACACACACACACACACACAACACAUUCACAGAGCAUAUAGUCAGGUAACCUUAUCAGAUAAGAGGCAACACACAUACGGUGAAAAAACACAGCAGAUUGGUCCAGAGCGCAAAAUAUUGGGUUGAUUUUGUUGCAAAUAAAAGCAGAACGUGAACAUAGGAGGCAAAGGGGGGCUAGAAAUCAAGUCAGUGGUCUACUGAACACCUCAGCAUCAGACACACAUCAUCACAUUUGGGUGUGAAGUCAGCGGUCUACUGAACACCUCAGCAUCAG
ensembl:lncRNA